GAGAACUCAGGUUAAUGUACUCUUUAUUUAAAAUUCUAAGGAUCUUUAAAUAAUUUUCCAUGGGUCAUAUUUUUAUUGCUUUUUAAAAUCAUUUACAAUUUGCUUUCACACGUAUUCUCCCUCAUUUGAUCCUUACAACUGCCCUGGGAAGCAGGCUGGAGAGAGAGUAGGGGCCUGUUAGGAGACAAAUUUACACAAUACAUAAGAAAGCUCACUGUGAGCUGGGGUGAGGAGGGGAGACUUGGAGAAUCAUGAAAGCAAUGUCUAUGUCUUUAUUCCCAGCCCAACUACAAAGCCUGAAACUCAUUAGGUAUUUAAGAAAUAGCUGCUGAAUUAUUGCCUAGGGGUGCUGAGCUGAAGAAGCAGGGUUGCGACUAACAGUCAAGCUUCCUGACUCCUAGCCCAAUUCUUUUCGAAACACACCACCUAUUUUUCUGUAUCUGAUAGAAAGUACAGUGCUUAAGUUGUACAUAAUGUUAACUCACUUUCAAUACAGGCCAAUCAUGAUUGACUAUCAGUAGCUUAUGUGACAAUCUUAGGAAACUAAUGACUAGAAAGUUGAACCUUUCAGAGUUCCCAUUCCCAUGUCAUAUGCUAUUUCUAUUUUGAAAAAAAAAUCCUUUCAAACGAAACUUUAUCCAUCAAAAUGACAGAGAAGUGAAAAAUCGAUACAAAAAGAAAGCAAAAUGUUAAUUUCAA
rnacentral:lncRNA from 1 species